rnacentral:rRNA from 1 species
AGAGUUUGAUCCUGGCUCAGAUUGAACGCUAGCGGGAUGCUUUACACAUGCAAGUCGAACGGCAGCACGAGAGAGCUUGCUCUCUUGGUGGCGAGUGGCGGACGGGUGAGUAAUAUAUCGGAACGUGCCCAGUAGCGGGGGAUAACUACUCGAAAGAGUGGCUAAUACCGCAUACGCCCUACGGGGGAAAGGGGGGGAUCGCAAGACCUCUCACUAUUGGAGCGGCCGAUAUCGGAUUAGCUAGUUGGUGGGGUAAAGGCUCACCAAGGCAACGAUCCGUAGCUGGUUUGAGAGGACGACCAGCCACACUGGGACUGAGACACGGCCCAGACUCCUACGGGAGGCAGCAGUGGGGAAUUUUGGACAAUGGGGGAAACCCUGAUCCAGCCAUCCCGCGUGUAUGAUGAAGGCCUUCGGGUUGUAAAGUACUUUUGGCAGAGAAGAAAAGGCAUCCCCUAAUACGGGAUGCUGCUGACGGUAUCUGCAGAAUAAGCACCGGCUAACUACGUGCCAGCAGCCGCGGUAAUACGUAGGGUGCAAGCGUUAAUCGGAAUUACUGGGCGUAAAGCGUGUGUAGGCGGUUCGGAAAGAAAGAUGUGAAAUCCCAGGGCUCAACCUUGGAACUGCAUUUUUAACUGCCGAGCUAGAGUAUGUCAGAGGGGGGUAGAAUUCCACGUGUAGCAGUGAAAUGCGUAGAUAUGUGGAGGAAUACCGAUGGCGAAGGCAGCCCCCUGGGAUAAUACUGACGCUCAGACACGAAAGCGUGGGGAGCAAAAAGGAUUAGAUACCCUGGUAGUCCAC